AGUAAACAUAGAGAGGAAGAAAGGAAGAAGAUGAAAUCAGGAGUACAGAUUAAAGUGUUAUCUUUGGAAGACAGGCAAGACAUCCUUUGGGACAGAAGGGAAGGAGAGAAAGCUGGGGAACAUGCAGAUAAUACAAGAGAGAUGGGAUCUUGCUAUGUUGCCCAGGCUGAUCUCGAACACCGGAGCUCAAGUGAUCCUCCUGCCUCAGCCUCCCAAAGUGCUGAGAUUACAGUCAUGAGCCACCAUGCCUGGCACGAUAGAGAGUCUCUCUCUUGUGGCCCAGGCUGGAGUGCAGUGACACAAUCUCAGCUCAUUGCAACCUCCACCUCCCAGGUUCAAGUGAUUUUCCUGCCUCAGCCUCUCGAGUAGCUGGGACUACAGGCAUUCCUGUAAACUUAUAUUCAUGAAGAAAGUCAGAGUACUUGUUGCAGAUGCAAUGCUAGGUCUUCAGCCAUGUGCUAUAGAAACAGAAGGUGACAAAUAUAACCAAGGAUUGGGAGGAGAAAAAGAAGAAAGCCAAUUUGGGAAAUGAGACUGUAAAGUUUAUAAUGCUACUGAUUUUCAAACAUUUUCAGAAGCAAUGGAAAGAAGAAUGCGAAGAAAAUGAGUUUAUUUUCCAAAAUGCUUUUUUUGUUAUUGUUUUGCAAUUUCCCUUUGUUAACAUCAUAUAGGUUAUGGGGGUUUCUGUUUUGAAAAAAAUAAAUACUGCACCGUGUGUGGAUUGCUACUCAGCACUCAGCAAUAAACAAGUCAAUGAAUGCUCU
ensembl:lncRNA novel transcript